GUGCUCGCUUCAGUAGCACAUAUACUAAAAUUGGAACAAUAAAGAGAAGAUUAUCAUGGCUCCUGCACAGGGAUGACAAGCAAAUCUGUGAAGUGUUCCAUAUUAAA